rnacentral:rRNA from 1 species
UACGGAGGAUGCAAGCGUUAUCCGGAAUGAUUGGGCGUAAAGGGUUCGCAGGUGGUAGUGAAAGUCUGCUGUUAAAGGUCGGGGCUCAACCCCGAACCGGCAGUGGAAACUACACGACUAGAGUACGGUAGGGGCAGAGGGAAUUCCUGGUGUAGCGGUGAAAUGCGUAGAGCUCAGGAAGAACACCGGUGGCGAAAGCGCUCUGCUAGACCUGUACUGACACUGAGGGACGAAAGCUAGGGGAG